rnacentral:lncRNA from 1 species
CAUAAUCAAACUACCCAAGCAUGAUAUAAACUGAUCCAACCAAUAUGCCCAUAGGCACCUCAGUCACAAAAUCAUUUCAUAUACAAUUAGAUACUUGAAUUAUUGCCAAGAUGUUCACUAACUUCAAACUAAGUUUAAAUCUUCACAUGUCAUUUGAUUUACCAAGCAAACACAAACCAUUUGGUACCACAAAUUCCAUUCUAAAUUAGCACCA